rnacentral:rRNA from 1 species
GGGGCCCGGCAGGUCGACGAUUCCUACGGGAGGCAGCAGUGGGGAAUCUUGGACAAUGGGCGCAAGCCUGAUCCAGCCAUGCCGCGUGAGUGAUGAAGGCCUUAGGGUCGUAAAGCUCUUUCGCCAGAGAUGAUAAUGACAGUAUCUGGUAAAGAAACCCCGGCUAACUCCGUGCCAGCAGCCGCGGUAAUACGGAGGGGGUUAGCGUUGUUCGGAAUUACUGGGCGUAAAGCGUACGUAGGCGGAUUAGUCAGUCAGAGGUGAAAUCCCAGGGCUCAACCCUGGAACUGCCUUUGAUACUGCUAGUCUUGAGUUCGAGAGAGGUGAGUGGAAUUCCAAGUGUAGAGGUGAAAUUCGUAGAUAUUUGGAGGAACACCAGUGGCGAAGGCGGCUCACUGGCUCGAUACUGACGCUGAGGUACGAAAGUGUGGGGAGCAAACAGGAUUAGAUACCCUGGUAGUCCACACCGUAAACGAUGAAUGCCAGUCGUCGGGCAGUAUACUGUUCGGUGACACACCUAACGGAUUAAGCAUUCCGCCUGGGGAGUACGGUCGCAAGAUUAAAACUCAAAGGAAUUGACGG